AGUUAGAGAACAAAGUGCUGUCAGAAUCCCAGAAUAGAUUAACUGCCAUUAUUGCCAGAGUGCGCACUGGACAACUCAGCAUUGAGUGACUAAUAAUUCCAGGGGCCUGGGGAAGCAGUGAAAGCUGGAGUCUUCCCCUUGAGAGGCUGUAUAGACCUUACAGAUAGCUCUGGGAACUGCGUCUGCCAACGGCAAUCCUGACGGAAGGGCUCCUUGUAGGAUUCGUUCUCAAUUUUCAGCUCCAUUUAACAGCAGCUCUGAGGACUCCGUGCUAUUCAGCUUUAUUUGGAAGCCCAGCAAACUGGCAGACCCUGUUGCAGCCAGGAUGGAAUUGGGAAGCAGAGAAUACCAAAGCAAAUCUGUGGCUUAAUCUUUCAGGAAAAGUGUCUUCACAUUUUGAAAUCUACCAUGUCAGGACAGUGGAUCACUUCUAGGAUAGUGGGUCUCCAGGCACCUUGUGCUGAACCUGGAAAGAAGAGGAAACAAUUAAAAGGAAACAGAGAGCACUGGGAAAGAACAGUCUUGACCAAAUAGAGGCUGGAAAUUUCAAAAAAGUUUGGGGGAAACACUGAGAAUUUCCAACAUUGAUGUUCAACCUCUGAAGUUUUCCCUUGUCUAACAUCUGUGAAUAUAACAGCAAGUGAUGUUUGUUUUUAGGGAACAGAUUUGCUUUGGGAAAAACGCUCUGAGAAACAGGAAGAAGCACUGAUUUGUUUAGUAAAUUUUGAAGAGAAGAAAUAGUCUGUCUUUUCCUACCUAGGUCCAGAGUUCCCAAGCUGCUUCUGUCCCUGCUAAUUUUACCACCUCUGACUCCUUUCUGGCUUUUUGAGACAUGUUUUCCAUAAGCAGAUCAGGAAUAUGGAGCCCUUUCCUGCCCCUCAUAUGAAUUAUUAUUGUUUAGAUUCUGGCAGAAUGCAGAGAUCUCCAUGAAGAUUGUGCCUGUGUUGCCUUCAGUGAAUAUUAUUCCUGCCUGACUGCUACGCGAUACUUAGAGGUCAAACACAUAAGCAUUUCUAAAAGGAGAUUUGACAAAUUCCUGCAGGAAGGGCCCAGCAGGAGCAGUCCUUCUGUGAGUCUGAAAGGUAUUUCAGUGGAGAGAGUGCUCUGCCUGGGCUGCUGUACUGUAUACACGCUGUCCAUAAGCACAGCAGGAGGCUUGCUGGGAAAACGGGAUAAUUGCUUUGAGGCACACCUUCUUAUCUCCAUCAGCAAAACGUGCCAACUCUGUUCAAGCCAAGGAAGGUGAGGAUGAGAUAAAGAUGGCUGACUGUGCCUGCAUGUGGAGGAGGGAGGUUCCUGCCAUCCCUCUCAGUGGCAGAUGCUGCCAGGGAUGAGCAGUGAUCCCAGACGGCGUUGGCAGGGAGCAUUCGUCUGUGGCCCAAGUAAGGCCUCACUACAUACCGAUUUAGACUGGUUUUAAUGCUACUUUUCCUACUUUUCUGCCAGCGGAAGGGGCUGCUGGAGGAGUUACUGAAUGUGCAAAUGGAUGAGACCAAACCCUCAGGGGUUUGUUAAUCACAGGUUAAUGAACAAUUCUAGGUAAGAUCUUGGCUCCACUGAAUCCAUUGGGUGUUUUGCCUUUGUUUCGGCUUUUAUACUCUUUGUGACAAAGCCUUUUCUGUCAGUCCAGAUAGUUCCUGGGUGCACAGUGGAGUGAACCGGGCUCUGACCUUGGGGAACCCAGUGCUGGCCCUGCUCCCAGAUAGCCUGUGUGCCUGCACAGGGAAGAAAACCUGUAGGAGCUGGAAGUCUCACAGAACAGACCUCUAGCCUCAUCCUGUUCUCCAGAGUUGGAAGCAUUUGCCUACUGAAGGGCAUUGUUGGAGAGAAUAAGAAAAGCUUAUGAAGCGAUUGGUGAUGCGAACAGCACUUUUGUGACAUGGUUAUUGGCUGAGCCUUUCUUUGUAUGCAGACACACAAAUACAAUUAGAAAAGGUCCCAGGGACCAACUCCAUUCGCCAUCCAACUCCAUUAAGAUUGUGAUAAUUAGGCAAAUACUACAUACACAUACUACGUAGGUUUGAUUUGGAUAACCAAUACACUAGAAGCCUUUUCUAGAACAUAAGGCAGCAUUUAGUUUUAAAAACCUUUUUGAAACGCAGUAAUGCAGACCAUUGUAAUGCACUCUAAUGCAAAGGAAUCAAUAGCUUUUACACCACAGCGAGUUUAUUGUACAUAGCAAAUGAAUAAUACAAAAUGCAGUGCACUUAAUGGCCCAAUAUUAGACUGCACAGUUUGUAUAAAUCAGAAUGCCUUUUGUGUUUCCUGAAAGACAGUACCACAAGUUGUACAGACAGAAAACUACUAUUUAUUCUUCAAACAAUUAAUUGGGUUUUUUCUUAAAUAAAAUAUUUGCCAUCGAUUUUCAUGUUUUUAUAAAGCAGCUGCCUCCUCAAACAUUUGCUGUGAACUAAGUUCCUAAGUGUGUUGCUAGAAUGAAAUGGAAUUGUUCAUACUGUAAAUGUGAAUUACAGGAAUUUCACUGGGGAAAGUUAACUCAGAUAUGUUUCAUAUUGCUGGUGCUGGUAAUAAUUCAUAUGUGCUAGAGUAAUAGCAAGAGUCUCCAAGUCAAACCAAGACCCUUGUGGGGGAGAAAGACAAAGAAAGUUCAUUUUUCUCCAGUUCUUCACUGUGCAUUUGUCCAUGUUAAAUCCUAUUUUCCUGAGGUUUCACCUCAAGUGGCAUCUUUGUUGUCAGAAUUUUAACUUGACUCUAGCAUGACAGGACAUUAUUUUGUACGUCUCUCUGCCCAGGAGGAAAGCAAAUUACCAUUCCCAAGAAGGAAACUCGAAGUGGAUGUUUAUUUGUCUUGUUAUCUGUGUAUCCUAUUUCUCUGAGUCACGAGGAGUAAACAACUGGAUUGGUGCUCUGUAAGUAGGUUGGGGAAGAAUUUGCCUGUGCUACAUAAUGUAUUUUUAGUUACUGCUGGAGU